UACGGGGGGGGCAAGCGUUGUUCGGAAUUACUGGGCGUAAAGGGAAUGUAGGUGGUGUCGUAAGUCAGAUGUGAAAGCCCCGGGCUUAACCUGGGAAGUGCAUUUGAUACUGCGAUGCUAGAGUGCGAGAGAGGAAAGCGGAAUUCCAGGUGUAGGGGUGAAAUCCGUAGAUAUCUGGAGGAAUACCGAUGGCGAAGGCAGCUUUCUGGCUCGCAACUGACACUGAGAUUCGAAAGCGUGGGUAGCAAACAGG
rnacentral:rRNA from 1 species